rnacentral:rRNA from 1 species
GACGAACUCUGGCGGCGUGCCUAACACAUGCAAGUCGAACGGAGAUAUUUAGAAGCUUGCUUUUGGAUAUCUUAGUGGCGGACGGGCGAGUAACGCGUGAGCAACCUGUCCUUCAGAGGGGGACAACGGCUGGAAACGGCCGCUAAUACCGCAUGACAUAUCCGGAUGGCAUCGUCUGGAUAUCAAAGGAGAAAUCCGCUGAAGGGUGGGCUCGCGUCCGAUUAGCUAGUUGGUGAGGUAACGGCUCACCAAGGCGACGAUCGGUAGCCGAACUGAGAGGUUGAUCGGCCGCAUUGGGACUGAGACACGGCCCAGACUCCUACGGGAGGCAGCAGUGAGGGAUAUUGGGCAAUGGGGGAAACCCUGACCCAGCAACGCCGCGUGAGGGAAGACGGUCUUCGGAUUGUAAACCUAAGUAGUCAGGGACGAAGAAAUGACGGUACCUGAAGAGUAAGCUCCGGCUAACUACGUGCCAGCAGCCGCGGUAAUACGUAGGGAGCGAGCGUUGUCCGGAUUUACUGGGUGUAAAGGGUGCGUAGGCGGGCUGUCAAGUCAGAUGUGAAAUACCGGGGCUUAACUCCGGGGCUGCAUUUGAAACUGAUGGUCUUGAGUGAAGUAGAGGCAGGCGGAAUUCCUAGUGUAGCGGUGAAAUGCGUAGAUAUUAGGAGGAACACCAGUGGCGAAGGCGGCCUGCUGGGCUUUAACUGACGCUGAGGCACGAAAGCAUGGGGAGCAAACAGGAUUAGAUACCCUGGUAGUCCAUGCUGUAAACGAU